CUUAGGUCGGCCAACUCCUGCAAGAUUCGUGAGGCAGGUAGUGACCAAAUACUGUUCCAUAAAGGCCAAUUCGUCUUCUGAUUCGGGCACGAUUUCAAGCCUGACAAACACAGUGGCUUGGAUAAGAAUUUCAACUGAACACCUUGAUCAUGGUGACCUGAUGCUCCAGCUCUACUACAUGCCACCGCACUUGGCCAAGUACAGAAGCCCUGGCACACAUCAGAGACUGUUAUUAUAAAGCAUAAACUGCGCAUGCAAUGAAAGUUAAUGAGUACAUCUUAGUAAAUAAAUUAUUAUUAACCAGUAA